CUAACGACUCUCGGCAACGGAUAUCUCGGCUCACGCAUCGAUGAAGAACGUAGCAAAAUGCGAUACUUGGUGUGAAUUGCAGAAUCCCGUGAACCAUCGAGUUUUUGAACGCAAGUUGCGCCCAAAGCCAUCCGGCUGAGGGCACGCCUGCCUGGGCGUCACGC
rnacentral:rRNA from 1 species